UUUUUAAAAUAUUUGUUUGGCGUUCGUUGCCUUGUAGAUUCUCUGAAAGUCGUGCUGGUAUUUUAAUAUAGUGUGUCCAGUUAAAGCGUGGUUAAAUCGUUGAAACAACUGAACCUGAAGAAAAGAAGAAUGCAAGUCAUCUUGCGUCUUUUAACAUAUUUGUAGAUCAAGAACUUGAAUUGAAUGAUAUUUUCUCCUGCUGUAUCAGUUGUAAAAAUAUUGAAAUAGCGAGUCAUGCCGGUGCUGCCAGCAUAUUUGAAGUUCACUCAGUUCAAGAGGAAACCUGAAAGUUGUGCAGCCUAUCGUCGACUAUUUUGUUCCAAAUCAUUGUAUUCAGACUACUGAUUGUGCCAUCAAAAUUAUACUGGUAUCAACCAACACUAGCUUUAUUACAGUAUUGCUGAAACAUAUCACCAACCCCAGCACGGACCAGUCUAUCAUUCCAUCUUCUAGAGAACCUUGGGUAACUGAUUGAUGGUUUCAUGUGUUUCUAAAUUGGCAUUACAGACUUUAUGUGAAGUCAUGUCCUUUCAAGAAAAUGGACAAGGGCUUAGUCAACAAGAUUCAUUGUUUUCUAACUCGUCUCGUUCCGUUGAAUCUCCCCUUUACUUCCUUACACAGGCCCUCUUGUUUGGAGGGUAAUUCCUUCGUGAACUUCAUCCAUUGCUGAAAACCAACGAGAUCAUGCUGUAAUUCAAGACCGAUAAUUUGUCUAGUUAGCUAAAUUACAAGUGCAUAUCUGGG